CUGCCUACCUGCUCAUUUUUGACAUUGGUGGCAUCUUUACAGCACUCUCAGUUACCUGCUCCCUUAGCACUCUGCCACUUCCGCCCUGCAAAGCUGCAGUAAUGGAGGAAGACAGCCCCUGGCGUGCUACACGGCUGCACCUGACCCCUGAGGACUGCAGGGAGAAAAAUCAUACAGCUUGCCCUGAAGGGAAGAGGCAGGCUGGGCGCAGGUGCGCAGGUGUGAGUCCUACUGGGCAGACAGGAAGCACUAACAUUUGAUGCAGUUUGUAAGAGACAACGCAGGAACGCACUCAGCACAGUGGCUGGAACUGAGAGCUCACUUAAGCAGGACUCAGCAGAAGCGCUCCGGGGGCUGUCAGUUUUGAGGGUGCCCCUUACAGUAACACUCCUCAAACUGCAAUGUGCCUAGGAAUCACCUGGGAGAUUAACUAAAAUGCAGAUUCUGAGUCAGGAGAUGAAGAGCUCAACAAAGGAAAUACUGUAAGAGGAGAUGUAUGGUACUGAGAAUAUUUAACGUAAGUGUUUUCCUCAAUCAAGACAUAGCCCUCAGCCUCCCGGGAGCUCUGCUAGAGAGACCACUCAACUAAUACCUCCAUGCAGCUCCAUCUGACCAUCAAACGCAACCCUCCGAUGGGGACCAUUCCAGCAAACUGGAUGGGAAGCAUAAGACUCAAACACUGGGAACCUCAUGAAGACGAUUUCAUGGAUUCUUCUUUAAAAAAACAAAAUGAACAAAGCUGGUGCAAAGGCUUUUGAUCAUACGAGCAAGGAGGAAUUUACUCAAUACAAACGGCUGUGGGGACUGGGGACCACUGUGGAGGAGCUGCCUAAACAAGCUUGAAGCUCCAGGGAAAAAAUAUGCUAUGAGAGCAUAAACACCCCAAAAGCUAGGCACUAAACACAUCUGAGCAGGGAGCAAAAGCCAA